AUUCAGGUGAAAAUGCUCAGGUUCAGUCGGCUGACACACAGCGGCAGCCAGUUACCGUGCCCAGCCCUCUGCACAGGCACAGGGCGAGACCCCAAGCUCCCACCCCUCAAGCGCUUCCAUUUUGCCAACUCAUUUUCAGUGUGAAGCAAUAGUUACGAACAAAGAUCGCUAACAGCUCCAGCCUCAUUGCCCAAUGCCGACAGGCAGUUCAGCCAGCCUAAGGAUAACAGCGUGCUGUGAAAAAGUCAGCAUUUCAACAAAGCAGGGCAACACCGUGCAGCAACUGAUCCUCUCAUAAGCCAAAUCGUUCCUUCUCCUGAUGAACAGCGCAGAACUGCUCCUCACUGAGUGCAGCGACCGGCUAAGGAGGCAGCAGGAAAGCUGCACAAGUGACAGCGACCCCGUGAAGGACCGGUUCAGGAACUGCAAGAGGCAAAAGUGAAUUCUCCUCUUUUGCAUCUGACUAAAUGGGGUUUGAAGGAAUAUGAGCAAAAGGAAGCAAAACAUUCCUGCAGAAAUUCAAUAAACUGAGCAGCAUUAUGAAAGUCAUAUAAAACAGCCUGAAGCUGACAAUAUCACAGAACUGCGAACUGGAACUAGCAGCAUUGCUAAGGUGCGUACUUUAAACAUGGACACCCUCCUCCUGGUUAAGUCUUAGAUACGCUCUAUAGAGAAAAUAAAUACACCUCCAACUCUUCCCCCAUCUCUCAGUGCCAGACAGACUGCUCGGAUAUCUGCCCCCUCCCCGCUCCAGCCCACGACAGCCAAGCUCAGAUGCCCCGUUUGGCCACCGUGCCCUCCAGCCCAGGCAAAGCUGUCCCCACUUCACACUUAUCAUUGUGAAACCAUGCCAGUCUGCUCGUUUGCACAGCAAAGCAGGUUCUUCCUUUUCAGACUGCUUGCUGCCAAGGACUGAUGCCCGAAACACUGAACAGUGGCGCUUGUGUCUGACCUGGAGCAGACGAGAAACAGGUAAAUAGGCCAAGUAAAGCAGAGCCAGGGAAACAAAGACUCGGAGACUGAAUUACCCCUUCCCUACAUCAAUUAAAAAGCAAAUGCAAUUAUUUUGUACCAAUAACUGCAUCCAGAGUGCACUUUUGCCUUAGGGAGACUAAAAGAACAAACGAGACAGGGGCUCACACAACAUCCUAUUUCCCCUGUGACAUUGCCAAGAUCGGUGACGUGAAGGCUUUGAAUUUCUGCUGGCAUUGAAGUGCUGAAUUGUUCAGACAGACGGGGAGAGGGCACUGCACAUGCAGGGAGAGACCCCGCACGCCUUCGGGAGAGCCUUGCAGGGCGCCAAUCCCAGUCCAUCAAGACAAGCAGGGAGAAAUGUUAAGCUUAAGUAAAAAGGAAAUUAGUCGCUCUGAUAAUGAAGACCAAGUGCAAUGGGAUGGGAGAAGAGGCCCUCAAGGAAGGGAACACGGGACUGGAGAAUUAAGAGCUGCCACAAAGCUUCCACUUAAGCAUUUGGAGCAGACUUUGUCCUUCAACACAACCCACAUCAGCAGUCAAGCCAUUCCACCCACAAAGCUCCAUUUAAGCAUGUAUCAAAUCCCAGCACUCCGGCUUAAUCAGGAGUCCCUGAAGGCUACAGAAAGACAGGGCUAAGCAAGAAAUUAACUGGCAACAGUGUGGGACACAAACAAGGCAACUACAUACCACGGCACUGACUCCAGACGACAUUCUUGCUUGGUGAGCUUUUUAAUGGACACCCAAAAUGCAAGUAACAGGGAGACGAGAGCGCAGACAGCAAGGGUAGGAGGGCAAAUGGAAGAGUGACCCCGCCGUGGCUCGGAUGGGAACACUGACGACAUACCUGAGCGGUCACGUUAACGGAGCGCUGCGAUAAGCUCCUCCUCGUUCUUGGCACGCGUCAAGCACACAAAGAAAGCAUCAACUUAAGACAAGACAACACAGUUCUUAAGAAAGCUUAAGAAAAGUAGGAUGGAAAUUAAAAAGGACAUCCUUUGACUCUAGAAGCAUCUGUGAAAUCUGUCCUGUUAAAAAGCAUGCAUGAGAGUGAAUGGCCAAGGCAGUAAAUUAUUCCCGGAUCUUGAGACGGCUCCUGUAAAGUUGUCAUUACUUGUCUAUGCUAUCUGUAGAACAGAGAUAAGGUUAGAGCUGAAAAAUAUGAGUGUGUAAGUCAGCCAGCCAAACGAUACGUAUUAAAUGCUAAGGUCCCUUUCCCGCUAAGCGCUUGUGAAGAGCUGUGGGGAAGGCCAGAAGGGCAGGUACCGCUUCUCGGGAGCUGGCAGAGACAUCUGUUGACAUCCCUAACACUGGUAAACCGAAUAAAUAAGGGCACAGGCAGCAAAGUGAGCUCUUUCCCACACAUUUCACUGUACACCUUAAGCUUCCAGUUCUGUUUUUAUCCACCUGCCAGAUUUGAUUUUGCCAAAGACGACAAGCCAGCCGCAGACAGCUUUUUUUUUCCCCUCUCCCUCACCAGGAAAAAAACCCCACAUUUUCUCUGGGGAACACACACAACAUAAGAUAGUACGCUUCAAACUCCUUAAAAUAUUUCUGCCCACUUAUUUGAAAGCAUACAAAAACAGUUCUGGGCAUUUUCUCUGUUAAAUACAGUUCUCCCAGCCAGCAGCUGCUUUUGGUGGCAGAGCCUUUCCCAGACUAACAUUUUUAAUGUACAGGAGGAAUGUAUAUAUGCAAGUCAGACUACUAAAUUAUAAACUCAUGCAGGAAUAAAACUCUCCAUUACCUCAACAAUUUCAGGGUCAUUGCAACUCUAUCCCAGCAAAUAAUUAUAUCUUGGCUGUAACAGCUUAUACCCAUAUGACUACCAGGAUCCUAAGGCAUUUCAGAUGGCUUCAAAAGCUUAGCCACCACUGACAGCUUCUGAGAUGGAAAGCACAAACUCCUUUUCUCAGAGAGCCGCUCUGCAUAGCUGUCUUGAAGCAGCACUGAAGACCAUUAAAUUGUACCCAACUUUCCUGCGGAGUUUAGAAUAAAAAGCAUAAGCCAAGCAUGAGUGAGUUGUAGAGAAAACCAGAAUCUUUAAUUACCUGAAACUGAGAUGAUGUCAGACACAGAAAACUCAAGUCUUGUGAAGCAGUUACAGUCAACGCACAAGAAAAAAACACAACCCAACUAACUAUAUAUUUAUGCACACACAACUGAAAUGCGACAUUUAACAGCCAAACUU